UACAGAGGGUGCGAGCGUUAAUCGGAAUUACUGGGCGUAAAGCGCACGUAGGUGGCGACGUAAGUCGGGUGUGAAAUCCCUGGGCUCAACCUGGGAACGGCAUUCGAGACUGUGUUGCUGGAGUACGGAAGAGGAGGGCGGAAUUCCCGGUGUAGCGGUGAAAUGCGUAGAUAUCUGGAGGAACACCGGUGGCGAAGGCGGCAUCCUGGACCGGCAUUGACGCUGGGGCGCGAAAAAGCUAGGGGGAGCAAAACGGGGAUUUAGAAAACCCCCAGUAG
rnacentral:rRNA from 1 species